GGGCCAGACUCCUACGGGAGGCAGCAGUGGGGAAUAUUGGGCAAUGGGCGCAAGCCUGACCCAGCAACGCCGCGUGAAGGAAGAAGGCUUUCGGGUUGUAAACUUCUUUUGUCAGGGAAGAGUAGAAGACGGUACCUGACGAAUAAGCCACGGCUAACUACGUGCCAGCAGCCGCGGUAAUACGUAGGUGGCAAGCGUUGCCCGGAUUUACUGGGUGUAAAGGGAGCGCAGGCGGCGCGCCAAGUCUGGUGUGAAACCCCGGGGCUCAACCCCGGGACUGCAUUGGAAACUGGCGGGCUGGAGUGUCGGAGGGGCAGGCGGAAUUCCUGGUGUAGCGGUGAAAUGCGUAGAUAUCAGGAGGAACACCGGUGGCGAAGGCGGCCUGCUGGACGACAACUGACGCUGAGGCUCGAAAGCGUGGGGAGCAAACAGGAUUAGAUACCCUAGUA
rnacentral:rRNA from 1 species